rnacentral:misc_RNA from 1 species
GAUGAAGAACGCAGCGAAAUGCGAUAAGUAAUGUGAAUUGCAGAAUUCAGUGAAUCAUCGAAUCUUUGAACGCACAUUGCGCCCGCCAGUAUUCUGGCGGGCAUGCCUGUCUGAGCGUCAUUUCAACCCUCAUGCCCCUAGGGCGUGGUGUUGGGGAUCGGCCAAAGCCCGCGAGGGACGGCCGGCCCCUAAAUCUAGUGGCGGACCCGUCGUGGCCUCCUCUGCGAAGUAGUGAUAUUCCGCAUCGGAGAGCGAUGAGCCCCUGCCGUUAAACCCCCAACUUUCCAAGGUUGACCUCAGAUCAGGUAGGAAUAACCGCUGAACUUAAGCAUAUCAAUAAGCGGAGGA